AGUGAACGCUGGCGGUAGGCCUAACACAUGCAAGUCGAACGGCAGCACAGUAAGAUCUUGCCCUUACGGUUGGCGAGUGGCGGACGGGUGAGACGUACAUCGGAAUCUACUUUUUCGUGGGGGAUAACGUAGGGAAACUUAUGCUAAUACCGCAUACGACGUACGGGUGAAAGCAGGGGAUCUUGAGAGCUUGCGCGUUUCUAUGAGCCGAUGUCGGAUUAGCUAGUUGGCGGGGUAAAGUCCCACCAUGCCAACGAUCCGUAGCUGGUCUGAGAGGAUGAUCAGCCACACUGAAACGGAGACACGGUCCAGACUCCUACGGGGGGCAGCAGUGGGAAAUAUUGGACAAGGGGCGAAAGCCUGAGCCAGCCAUACGGGGUGGGGGAAGAAGGCCUUCGAGUGGUAAAGCCCUUUUGUUGGGAAAGAAAAGCAGCAGGUUAACACCCCGCUGUUCUGACGGUACCCAAAGAAUAAGCACCGGCUAACUUCGU
rnacentral:rRNA from 1 species